rnacentral:lncRNA from 1 species
CCAUCUGAUUGCGGGACUCAGCCCAGGGAUAAUUCUGUGCCCCUGUGAGACAGCUUAGAUGGUGACAAGCUACAGAUAUUGAAGCCAGUGGGACCUGGGUUUGAAGUCUGACUCUGCCAUUUAGUGAAAGACCUUGAGCAAAACUCACUGGCCCUGGAGCCAAUCUUGAGCAGAGCCUAUAAGGCAGAAGGAUCCAGACUCUGAAUAACCAGACAUGCCUGCAGGAGACCAUGUGAGUGAUGGAAAUAAAACUCUGCUGGGGCAUUCAAAUAUUGAAAGAAUGAAUGAAUGAAUAAGUGUUUGCACCAGUGAGAUACUGAGCGGACCUAUUUGAAAAGAGAGAGUGGAAGAAUGGGCUCCGGAUGUGGGACUGCAGAGGACACUUGGAACAGGGGCCAGCAAAAGGACUCUGAGCUCCAGAGGGGAACAACAAGGAGUAAUCCUAAAGAUGCAGCUUGAGCUGUGGCCCCCAAAAGAUAUGUCCACAACCUAAUCCAUGGAAUCUAUGAAUGGAUCUUCUUUGAGAAAAAGAUCUUUACGAAGAUCAGUUGGCCACCUACCACCCCCAGCCCAGAGGGAGAAAGAGAAUCCCUGCAGCCCCAGGGAAAAGCCCCUGGGAAGCUACUACCCAGAGGAUGUCCGGAGCCCCCAGCUUUUCUACUUGUCUGCACAUAUUAAGAAAGGAUGGACGACAUGCAGAGGAGAGCCACUUUUACAGACAGAUGAUUAUAAUAAAAUACUGACCC